UCCGGUUGAUCCCGCCGGACCCCACUGCUAUCGAGUGGGAUAAGCCAUGCUAGUCGCGCGCGUCCAACCAUGAGGACGAGCGGCAUACCGCUCAGCAACACGUAGCUAACCUACCCUUGGGACAAGGAUACCCCCGGGAAACUGGGGUUAAUCCGUGAUAGGUGUGGAGGCCUGGAAUGGUUCCACGCCCAAAGGCACGACAGUCAUGUUUGUUGUGUGCCCGAGGAUGGGGCUGCGGCCAAUCAGGCAGUUGGCGAGGUAACGGCUCACCAAACCUUUGACCGGUACGGGCCAUGAAAGUGGUAGCCCGGAGAUGGGCACUGAGACAGGGGCCCAGGCCCUACGGGGCGCAGCAGGCGCGAAAACUCCACAAUGUGCGAAAGCACGAUGGGGUUACCUCGAGUGCAGUCCGAUAAGGGCUGCUUUUCCAAAGAGUAAUAUCCUGUGGGAAUAAGAGGGGGGCAAGACUGGUGUCAGCCGCCGCGGUAACACCAGCCCCUCGAGUGGUGGGGACUUUUAUUUGGCCUAAAGCGUCCGUAGCUGGCUAUGUAAGUCCCCCGUUAAAUCCGGCGUCCUAAGCGUCGGACUGCGGGUGAUACUACAAAGCUAGAGGGUGGGAUAGGUGAGCGGUAUUUCUGGGGUAGGGGCGAAAUCCUUUGAUCCCAGGAGGACCACAGUGGCGAAGGCUGCUUACUAGAACACGCCUGACGGUCAGGGACGAAAGCUGGGGCAGCGAACCGGAUUAGAUACCCGGGUAGUCCCAGCUGUAAACGAUGCUAGCUAGGUGUUGGGUCGGCCAUGUGCCGCCCCAGUGCCGCAGGGAAGCCGUUAAGCUAGCCGCCUGGGGAGUACGGCCGCAAGGCUGAAACUUAAAGGAAU
rnacentral:rRNA from 1 species